rnacentral:lncRNA from 1 species
AUAUGAAGUGACGGAUUCCUAAAAUGAACUUUGGCGUGUGCAAAGAUGAGAGAGAGAGAGAGAGAGAGAGAGAGAGAGAGAGAGAGAGAGAGAGAGAGAGAGAGAGAGAGAGAGUACCCCGAGAAGGUCAGUAAGAGCAGCACGCAAUUCAGUCAUCACGGAGUGACAAACAUCGACAUUUUCAUCUGUUGACCGAACGGCUGCCCAUAUACGUUCUCCUAUCCCGGGACCUAAGUCAGGUCUGACUGUACUAACCCAUUCACCAUGGUUGCUCUUGAAUUCAUACCUAUUCUAUCAACCAAAUAAUAAAUUUGGAAUUCAUUAUGAACGACAAAUUUAAAUUUUGUUAAUCAAGGUGAAGAUGCAGAAAUUAUCACACUCAUAUUCAAGUCCACCAAAUCAGCACCUUACGAGAAGAUGAAAGGCGGUUGAUAGGGCUGCCAAUGACGGUAUAAUGUACUCUUCACUUGGAUUUCCUUUAUCCAAGAAAGAGUUCAAGCUUGGAACUUUGUCCUUGACAACAUCCCCGAGGUUAGCAUGUUUUAUAACUUGACCUGCAUUUGCAGAUAUAACGAGUGAGCGUCUUCUUUCCAUGUUAUGAGCUUGUCCCUAUCUCAGCAGGAGACCCAAUUUAAUAAGUGAAUAAUUUUCGGUUAAUAAUCUGUCUAUUGAACAUAAUGGCCAAUUUGUGUCUUAAAAUGCGGGGGAAUUAUAAAUUGGACUCGAUUCAUGUCAAUCAAAAUACUUACAGCGAGAGAUGAAACAGAUGAAUACGGUCAAAUCACUUACCCCCAAAUAACUUCUCAACUGAGUCAACAAGUACUUGUUUCACUCGACUGCUUGGAACACUUGAAAUCUGGAAACAGUCUUCUGCGAUGAUUAACUGAGUGGGUACGACAGGACCCGUAUCAGGCAAUUGGAGUAACACUCGUCCAAGUCUAUUCAAAAUUGCAGGAUUCCUUGCAAACCAUCCUAUAUCAGAAGUUAGUGUCAAAAGGAUAGUUUCCGAUUGCUUAGAGUGCUAGAUAGAUCAUUCGCAUAGGUAAAGCUUUCGAAGUACUAUAUUUCCAAUUGCAGAAAAAUUUAAACAAAGAAGUGUCACAAGUAAUAAUCAACAAAAAUGCAGAAUGCAUGGAUGGCAUAUGAAUCAUUAAAGCGGAAGAAGUUAGCUACUUUCUAGAAACAGAAAUAGAGAUUUCCUGUUAUAUAAAAUCAAGGGAAAACCAAAACAUGACUUUUUUUUGUCACAACCAGAAAUCUAUUUCCUAAGCCAGUCUGCAAUAUAAAAUGUCAUUGAUUUCUCACCCACUGUAUCGAAACUUUGUGCCAGAGGAGUAACUCCAGAAGUAGAAAUGACGCCAUGAGAUGGCCGAAACCCAAAAAUUCCACAAUAUGAAGCAGGAACUCUUACACUUCCUCCAGUAUCGGUUCCUGAAAAAGUGAGGGCCUUGUGCUUCAACUUAAAGAAGCAAGAAAACAACAAAAGCACACAAGGAAUAACUUACCUAAGGAAAAAUCUGCGAGGCCUGCAGCUACGACAACAGCAGAACCGCUAGAAGAGCCUCCAGGCACCCUAUCUGGUGCGCACGGAUUUCUGGGUGUGCCAUAAUGCUUGUUCUCUCCAUUCAUACUGCCAACAACACAAUGCAAAAUUCAAGGGCGUUUUCUGUUGAGUGAUUUUCGAAUGUCCAAAAUCAUUAUAUAAAUACUUUUACCACGAAAAUAGACUUGUAGGGAUCAAUCAUUUGUCAAAAUUUUUUGCAAACAAAACAGUAAUGCAAGUUUAAGCAUGUGAAGUAAGACAAGGCCUCUUUGCACUAACCAGUAAGCCAUUUCAUCCAUGACAGUUAUACCAAUACUUGUGGCACCUCCACUCAAUAUUGCCGAAACAGCCGGAGCUGUUGAUUCAGCAGCCGGGUGAGUCCUCGCCCAAUCAGGAUUCCCAAACCCAGUCACACGUCCAGCCACAUCAAAUCUGCCUCCAAGUUCAAAUUUUAGUGAAUACAAAAAUGUUUUGGCUUUUACACACACACACACACAAGAAAAAAAAAAUUGCACAAUUCAACACCCUGAAGUUCAUCAUCAUGGUUCCACAAGCACGCAUAAAACCACACAAAGCAGGAAGAUUUAUUAAAACGCUUCUCUGAAAAAGCACUUCUCAUCAUAAGUGCUUUUGUUGGAAGUAUUUUAACUUUAGUAGAAGCAAAUCCACCACAAAGUUUCAUUAAAAAUUCAAGUGCUUCAGGUAAAAAUAAAAAAUAAAAAAACUUUUGAACUUUUUUCUUUCUUUCUGAAAGUGCUUUUAGUCAUUCUCAAAUGAAGAAACGCCCAAUCACAGAAACAACCCACAAAAUUGGGUUGUUGUUGGAGAAAACUGCUUGAAUUCAAAUCCGAAAUUCGCAAGCAUCCACCAAAUAGAAGAGUGAUAUAAAUGAGGAAAAUUUAAGAGAGUAGCUCUCACAUGUCUUUAACAGCAAAGGUGAGGCUGCUCAGAGGAAGGUCAUGUGACGAAGACGGCGGCCGAAGAAGGAAUUUCUCCACGAAAGCUCCAUGUUCUGAGUCUAUCGCCAUCCCUCUCUGCCACUGCUGUCUCAGACAAUCUCAGCCUCAGCAGCAGCUCCACAUUUUGAUGACAGAAGUGAACAGCUCUCCACUCAUCAAUCAUGCGAUGAUCACUUCAGCCAGUGAGGACAAAUAUUAUUCCUUAAAAAAAAUCUGUGUUGAUAAGGCGGUCACUUCAGCCAGUGAGGACAAACUGGAAAUUCUGGAGGUUGCUUAAGUCCUCACUGUGGUCGUUAGACAUUGAGAAUCGAUAAAGUGGUACUUAAAAGCAGGAAAAACAACUUACCAUAAAAUCUGAAACAUCAAAUGUGUUUAAAAGGUCGUACCCAGUGCACAAGGCUCCCGCUUUACGCAGGGUUUGGGAGAGGUGAAUGUCGGCUAGCCUUACCCCCAUUUAUGGAGAGGCUGCUCUCAAGUCUCGAACCCGAGACCUACCGCUCAUGGGCGAAGGCACUUGCCAUCGCACCAAGUGCGACCUCAAAUGUGUUUGGUAAAAAAAAAAAAAGCUUAUUUAAAAAAUUGUUGUCAAUGACAACAAAAAAGCAUAGAAAAGCAGAAGUAGGAUCUACUAUGCUUUAAAAUUAUCUAAGCAUAGUGAACAGUGGCCAUUUGAUGAAAUUUUCAAAUAGCAAGUAUACCCCUGCCUUUUUUACAAAAUAACAAUCGUUGCCCGUGGAAUAUUAUCUUUGACAACUAUUAUAGGGAAUUAUUAUUAGCAUUCCAAAAGUCUCAUUUGACAUUCCAAACUUUCUAUAAUUAGAAAGAAAAAAAACACUUGUGAGGAGUGUAGAAUGAGAUUUUUGGAAUGCUAAUAACAGUUCCGUUAUUAUAUCACAUUAAAUGCCAUAUCAUUUUUAGUAUUUAACAUAUUCACAUUAAUUUUAUAUAAAAGUUGACAUAACACUCAGAUACUGUUUUCUUUUUUUUUACAAGCACUUUUACAAUAAAAGUUUAUUAAACGCUUAACAACUUUAUUUUACAGCUGUUCUGCUGUUUUUUUUUUUUUUUUUAACAUAACAAUACCAAACUAGCAAAACUUACAAGCACAUAUAUCAGGAAAAGAUUAUCAGAGUCUGCAACUCAAAAUCUUGUAGUCAACAUUCACAACUUCCCGACGUGUUCUUUGAGAGUGUCGUAAAGAGUCUCGACAAGAUUGAGCAGGAACCCGUCCGAGCCAUGCUUUGCCAGCAAGGAAACUGAAACGGGUAGGUUAUCGUACAUCCCUAGUGGUAUAGUCACCUGCAAAUACGUAGAAAUACGUUACAAACUUUCACAAGAUAUUUGCAGUCAUUGAAGAAGAAAAAGAUCGUAGUCAUAUACAAACAUGGAGACUGGAGAGGGGGAGGGAGAAGUAGAGAUAGAUAGAGGGCUUAAAAACCUGGCAGAAUCCGGAAACUACGGCAAUGGAUAGGAAGCUGAAAGCCCUGGCACGAAAAUUGUGCAGUGUUGUAGGAUCUGUUUGCAGCUUUGGUGGAUCCCCUGGAACUGUAGGCAUUGCGAGGACACCGAAAUCCUGAUGAGUAAAUCAAAGAGAUUGUGUUAUGUAUUCAUUAGAGACGGUAUGUAUCAUCCAUUUCUUCUGCUAAAGGUACCUUUUUAAGAGCAAAAGGAAGGAAGAUGCUAACAAAUAACAGUUUGUCAAAGAUGAGAGAGAGAGAGAGAGAGAGAGAGAGUACCCCGAGAAGGUCAGUAAGAGCAGCACGCAAUUCAGUCAUCACGGAGUGACAAACAUCGACAUUUUCAUCUGUUGACCGAACAGCUGCCCAUAUACGUUCUCCUAUCCCGGGACCUAAGUCAGGUCUGACUGUACUAACCCAUUCACCAUGGUUGCUCUUGAAUUCAUACCUAUUCUAUCAACCAAAUGAUAAAUUUGGAAUUCAUUAUGAACGACAAAUUUGAAUUUUGUUGAUCAAGAUGAAGAUGCAGAAAUUAUCACACUCAUAUUCAAGUCGACCAAAUCAGCACCUUUCAAGUAGACGAUCGGCGGUUGAUAGGGCUGCCAAUGACGGUAUAAUGUACUCUUCACUUGGAUUUCCUUUAUCCAAGAAAGAGUUCAAGCUUGGAACUUUGUCCUUGACAACGUCCCCAAGGUUAGCAUGUUUUAUAACAUGACCUGCAUUUGCAGAUAUAACGAGUGAGCUUCUUCUUUCCAUGUUAUGAACUUGUCCCUAUCUCAGCAGGAGACCUAAUUUAAUUAAGUGAAUGAUGAUUUUCAGGUAAUAAUCUGUCUACUGAAUUUAAUGGUCUAUUUGUGUCUUAAAAUGCGAGGGAAUUAUAAAUUGGACUCGAUUCAUGUCAAUCAAAGUACUUACAGCAAGAGAUGAAACAGAUGAAUAUGGUCAAAUCACUUACCCCCAAAUAACUUCUCAACUGAGUCAACAAGUACUUGUUUCACUCGACUGCUUGGAACACUUGAAAGCUGGAAACAGUCUUCUGCGAUGAUUAACUGAGUGGGUACGACAGGACCUGUAUCAGGCAAUUGGAGUAACACUCGUCCAACUCUAUUCAAAAUCGCAGGAUCCCUUGCAAACCAUCCUAUAUCAGAAGUUAGUGUCAAAAGGAUGGUUUCCAAUUGCUUAGAGUGCUAGAUAGAUCAUUCGCAUAGGUAAAGCUUUCGAAGUACUAUAUUUCCAAUUGCAGAAAAACUUAAACACAGAAGUGUCACAAGUAAUAAUCAACAAAAAUGCAGAAUGCCUGGAUGGCAUAUGAAUCAUUAAAGCGGAAGAAGUUAGCUACAUUCUAGCAACAGAAAUAGAGAUUUCCUGUUAUAUAAAAUCGAGGGAAAACUGAAACAUGACUUUUUUUGUCACAACCAGAAAUCAAUUUCCUAAGCCAGUCUGCAAUAUAAAAUGUCAUUGAUUUCUCACCCACUGUAUCGAAACUUUGUGCCAGGGGAGUAACUCCAGAGGUAGAAAUGACACCAUGAGAUGGCCGAAACCCAAAAACUCCACAAUAUGAAGCAGGAACUCUUAUACUUCCUCCAGUGUCGGUUCCUGAAAAAUUGAGGGUCUUGUGCUUCAACAUAAAGAAGCAAGAAAACAACAAAAGCACGCAUGGAAUAACCUACCUAAGGAAAAAUCUGCGAGGCCUACAGCUACGGCAACAGCAGAACCGCUAGAAGAGCCUCCAGGCACCCUAUCUGGUGCGCACGGAUUUCUGGGUGUGCCAUAAUGCUUGUUCUCUCCAUUUAUACUGCCAACAACACAAUGCUAAAUUCAAGAGCAUUUCUGUCGAGUGAUUUUCAAAUGUACAAAAUCAUGAUAUAAAUACUUUUACCAUGAAAAGAGACUUGUAGUGAUCAAUCAUUUGUGAAAAUUUUUGCAAACAAAACAGUAAUGCAAGUUUAAGCAUGUGAAGUAAGACAAGGCCUCUUUGCACUAACCAGUAUGCCAUUUCAUCCAUGACAGUUAUACCAAUACUUGUGGCACCUCCACUCAAUAUUGCUGAAACAGCCGGAGCUGUUGACUCAGCAGCCGGGUGAGUCCUCGCCCAAUCAGGAUUCCCAAACCCAGUCACACGUCCAGCCACAUCAAAUCUGCCUCCAAGUUCAAAUUUCAGUGAACACAAAAAUGUUUUGGCUUUUACACACACACAUGAAAAAAAUUGCACAAUUCAACACCCUGAAGUUCACCAUCAUGGUUCCACAAGCACACAUAAAACCACACAAAGCAUGAAGAUUUAUUAAAACGCUUCUCUGAAAAAGCACUUCUCAUCAUAAGUGCUUUUGCUGGAAGUAUUUUUACUUUAGUAGAAGUAAAUCCACCACAAAGUUUCAUUAAAAAUUCAAGUGCUUCAGAAAAAAAACAUUUGAACAUUUUUUCUGAAAGUGCUUUUAGUCAUUCUCAAAUGAAGAAACGCCCAAUCACAGAAACAACACACAAAAUUGGGUUCUUGGAGACAACUGAUUGAACCCAAAUCCGAAAUCAGCAAAUAAGCACAAAAGCAUAUGAAUUUUAAGUAUAACACUACAAAAUUUAAAGCAUCCACCAAAUAGAAGAGUGAUAUAAUUGAGGAAAAUUUAAGAGAGUAGCUCUCACAUGUCUUUAACAGCAAAGGUGAGGCCGCUCAGAGGAAGGUCAUGUGAUGAAGACGGCGGUCGGAGAAGGAAUUUCUCCACGAAAGCUCCAUGAUCUGAGUCUAUCGCCAUCUCUCUCUGCCACUGCUGUCUCAGACAAUCUCAGCCUCAGCAGCAGCUCCACAUUUGACGACAGAAGUGAAAAGCUCUCCACUCAUCAAUCAUACGAUGAUCGUAUUCAAAUGCAAGGACAAAUAUUAUUCCUUAAAAAAAUAUGUUGUUGAUAAGGUGGUAACUUCAGUCAGUGAGGGCAAAGUGGAAAUUCUGGAGGUAGCUUAAGUCCUCACUAUGGUCCUUAGACUUUGAGAAUUGAUACAAAUGGUCUUUAAAUUUCUCCACCGUAAAUUAUUUUGCUCUAAAAAAUUUGUCAAUAUCAUCGUUGAGUGGUUGGGUUGAUUAGACAAAAUAUCAAAGAAAGACAAUUCAAGGACCGCUUCUAUCGGUUUUCAUUAUCAUGAUCAAAGUGAGGGGUUUUGCCAAAGUCAUGAACUAUUUUGACUAAAACCCUAAAAAAAAAAGGGAAUUGUUAUUGGCUCUCCAAAAAUCUCAUUCUAUACUCCAACUUUCUAUAUUUGGAAAGAAAACUACACUUCUGAUGAGUGUAGAAUAAGAUUCUUGGAGUGUUAAUAACACUUCCCAAAAAAUAAAACAUAUUCUAUGAAAAUAUUGUGAAUUUCUUAGCUUAUGGAUCCAACGCAAGUACACAAUGUAUUAGGGUUUUUAUCACAAAUGAUCCCUGAGAUUGAUCAAACUCAUUAUUUUGAUCCCUCACUUUCAAAAUCAAUCAAUGUCGUCUCUAACCUUCACUACCAAAUAUCAAUUGGGUCAUUCCGUUAAGAUUUUGUUAACUAUUCUGUUAGUUUAUAUGCGGGGCCCACAAUUUCAAUGAAAUUGUGACAUGUAGAUUACACAAAAUAAGGAUUUUUAUCGCAAAUGGUCCCUAACAUUGAUCUAACUCCUCAUUUUGGUAUCUGAGUUUCAAAAAUUAAUAAAUUUGGUCAUUGACUUUCAAUACCGCAUGUUAAUUUAAUCAUUCCGUUAAAGUUUCGUCAAUAUUCUUUUUCCCACUAAUUCAAUCAUAUGACGUCACGUGAAUUAACUAUAAGAAAUUUUUUUUUAAAGAUUUAAAACUAAAAGUAAAAUAAGAGACUAAAAACCAAUACUAAAAGAAAGAAAAAAGUCAUCGUCAUCUUCAUCAGGUAUGCUAAAAAAGAAAAUAAAGGCACCAUGACACUAUUAAAGUUCUUGGCCUCCUAAACUUACUCUUCAUUAUCUCCAGUUGGUUAUAAUCCUAUCAACUUUAAAUUGAAUUUGGAUUCGAUUUUAUCAAAUUUAGAUUGAAUUUUUUUCAAUUGGGGUUGUGGGAUGUGAGAAAUAUCAACGCAGAAUACUCGUAUGUUGGUUCAAUCUUAAAAAAAAAAAAAAAUUCUUAUAGUUAAUCCACGUGGAGCCAUAUUGAUGAAAUUUUAAUGAAAUGACUAAAUUGAUGUGCGAUAGUGAAAGUCAGGGAUCAAAUUCAUAAAUUUUUGAAACUUAGGGACCAAAAUGAGGGGUUGGACCAAUGUCAGUGACCAUUUGCGAUAAAAACUUUAAUUUUGUGUAAUCCACAUGUCACUAUUUCACUAGAUUUGUGGGUUCCACUUACAAACUAACAUAAUAGUUGACGGAAUUUUAACGGAAUGACCAAAUUGAUGUGGGGUAGUGAAUAUCAUGGACGACAUUAAUUGAUUUUGAAAGUAAGUCUCACUUACAAACUAACAGAAUAGUUGAAGGAAUCUUAACGGAAUGACCAAAUUGAUGUAGGGUAGUGAAUGUCAUGGACGACAUUAAUUGAUUUUGAAAGUAAGCGACCAAAAUGAUGAAUUUGAUCAAUUUUAUGGACCAUUUGUGAUAAAAACUCCAUUGUAUUAUCAAUGGAAACAAAAUUUCAAGUGGCAGUUCCAUACAUAUGCAGGCGAACUUUCAUUCGCUGCGGUCGUAAUAAAAAAAUAUGUACAAAUAAGGGAUCACAGGUCUGUGCUCGGCGAGUUCCACCUCUGCUGGCUUUGUAGUUACUCCCGGAGCACUCCAACCUAAGCGUUGCAUGCACACAGCAUCGUAUGCUUCAAUUUUCAAACCCGAAGCAAGAAAUAGUUCCACCUCGUUUACAAACCGAUUGGUUCUUGCUGCCAGGAAAGGCCCUGCUGCAUCACAGGUUGAUUCUUGAAAUUCUCUUUGUUUUUCUUCAGGUGCCGUCGUUCGACCUUUUUGUUCAUCCCUUGAAAAUGCAUGGUUCAGGUAAAAGUUCAGACAAAGAGUUCAUUGAAAUUUUGCACGUUUUCAAGCACUUCAAUGUUGUUCUUUCUCAUAUCUUGUCCAAAAGAACUCUAAAGACGGGAACUAACUUUGGAACGUUAUUCGAUUUUUCAAUUGAAGAUCUAGGGAGUAACACAUAUCACCUCGUCAGGGAUGAAUUAAUCACGCCAUGUAUGUGGUGCAUGACGAUGUCAACAUCUUCCUCCUACAAGCAGCAACAGAAGCAAGUUAGCUAUAAAGAGUCACCCGAAUAACUAUAACAUGCAUGUUCUGCUUUGGUCGUCAUAGAUAAAGAAAGACCACACGCACAAUUUUAUGAUUAGCUAAUUGGACUAGGUGAUCCAGUUCAUUGCCAAGCCAAAGAAACAAAAAUGAAACUCUGUAAGAUGUUGAAAUGUCCCCGUGUCACCACGAAAGAAAAUUUAUGCAGAAGAAGCCAAGACCUGCAUCAGAGCUUGGAUUUCCCUUCUCCACCAACUUUGGAGCCAGCGGUUUGGCUGAAGAUACUUGCUGGACUUCCGAUACCGUGGUAUGUCAAAUAUGUCACUUAAGAAAACUAAUUAAGAAACAAAGUUAACCAACUGGAAGGCAUGUAAACAGUGACGUCGUUUCUCAGGGAUAUAAAAUGAGAAACAACACAACCAAUAAAAUGACAAGAAGCACAAAACCUGGUUCAGUGUAAUAACACUGCAAUCUAUGCUUGUGCUCCUUUGAUAAGAAAAAGCUGCAGAUACCAUUAACAAAAAACGAUUUACAAAGAGGGUUACAUAUUUUCGAAAACGAUUUACAAAACUUUAUUUUUCAGGCCUAUCCACCCUUGUUUUUCUCCCCUCCAGGAAUUUUAGUGGCAGAGGUUUUGUGACGACGAGGAUUGUUGGUAAAAGCUGUUAUGUAGGAGACUUCUCCUUUCAGUAUAAAUGUCAUUACUCUUCUUUUAUUGUAAUUUAUUUAUGCUCUGACAUCAUUUGUGUGAAAUGGGUUCAAUCCCGCUCAUAUGCGCAGUCUAAAUUAGUUACUUUUAGGUUUUAAUUUAUUCACAAUUUUCACUUCACUACAUUUUAUGGCUUCGUCACCUCUGAGUGUCGGCUAGUACAUCACGAUUUGGGUGUCUGCGUGGACAUUCCGAGUCGGAAUGUGUCAAAAAUGUACCAUAUAAAGGCUACCAAUUUUUUGUAUGUAAAAUAUCAUUAAUAUAAGUAAUGACAAAUCAUGGGUUUUAUUUAAAUAGUUUAUUUUAAUGACAAAUCAUGUCAUUAAGAUAAAUUAUACUUUUUUAUAUAAGUAUAAUUUAUUUUUUUAUAUUUUCAAUCCCACAAAUCAUGAAUUUUAUCUAAAAUCUCAUUAAUACAAGUAACUAAAAAUAUCAAAAUAUCAAAUUUUAAUUUGAAAUUAUAAUAACCUACAUAGAAAUUUAUUAUUGUAUUAAUUUCAGGAACUUCAAUAAAAAACUGAAAACCAACAAGGUUUCAAUUGGAUUAAAAUUGAGGGACCAUUGAUACAAUUUUUCUUAUUUGAUUUUUCAUAUUUGCCCCUUAAUUUGGCCUCAUGUGCAUAGCAUGUGACUUAUUUUGGCAUAAGUUCUAAUGUAGUUGACAAAAAAAAAAAAUCAUAUCUGCACGUUUUGAUGAGUUUAGAGACCAAUGUUAAUGAAUUUUUAGUUGAUGGAUCGUUGCUCCUAUUAAGUUAAAGUUGAGAAAUUAUUGCUACAAUUUCCUCUACAAUUAAAGCUAAUAUAUAAGCUUGAUAGCUUGCUCAUGGACCAUACACAAGGAUAAAACGAGGAAAAUUCCUAUCUAUUUUAAACCUUAUGACUGAUUUGGGAUUGUGGUUCUUUUAUAAAAAACAGCUUAUGAAAAAAUCUGGAACAUCAAAUGUAUUUGGUACCAAAAAAAAAAGUGCUUAUUUAAAAAAUUGUUGUCAAUGACAACAGAAAAGUAAAGAAAAGCAGAAGCAGGGUCUACUAUGUUUCUAAAAAUUUCUAAGCAUGGUGAACAGUGAGAAUUUAAUGAAAUUUUCAAAUGGCAACUGCAUAUUUUACAAAAUAACAAUCGUUGUCCGUGCAAUAUUCUCUUUGGCAAUUAUUAUAUCACAUUAAAUGUCAUAUCAUUUUUAGUAUUUAACAAAUUCACAUCAAUUAUAUAUAUAAAAGUUUACAAAACACUCAGAUACUGUUUUAUUUUUUUACAAGCACUUUUACAAUAAAAGUUUAUCAAACGCUCAACAACUUUAUUUUACAACUGUUUAUUCUCAAAAUACUGCAGAAACAAUUUAAAAAAAAAAAAAAACAAAACAUAACAACACCAAACUAGCAGAACUUACAAGCACAUGUAUUAGGAAAAGAUUAUCAGAAUCUGCAACUCAAAAUCUUGUAGUCAACAUUCACAACUUCCCGGCGUGUUCUUUGAGAGUGCCGUAAAGAGUCUCCACAAGAUUGAGCAGGAAUCCAUCCGAGCCAUGCUUUGCCAGCAAGGAAACUGAAACAGGUAGGUUAUCGCACAUCCCUAGUGGUAUACUCACCUGCAAAUACGUAGAAAUAAGUUACUAACUUUCGCAAGAUACUUGCAGUCAAUGACGAAGAAAAAGAUUGUAACAUGUCGUAUACAAACAUGGAAAGGGGGAGGGAGAGGUAGAGAUAGAUAGAGGGCUUAAAAACCUGGCAGAAUCCGGAAACUACGGCAAUGGAUUGGAAGCUGAAAGCCCGGGCACGAAAAGCGUCCAGUAUACUAGGAUCUGUUUGCAGCUUUGGUGGAUCCCCUGGAACUGUAGGCAUUGCGAGGACACCGAAAUCCUGAUGAGUAAUUCAAAGAGAUUGUGUUACGUAUUCAUCAGAGACAGUAUUUCUUCUGCUAAAAGUUUCGUUUUAAGAGCAAAAGGAAGGAAGAUGCUAACAAAUAACAGUUUGUCAGUCUCUCUACUCUAACAAAACGAACUCGUUUGAUAUGAAGUGACGGAUUCCUAAAAUGAACUUUAGCGUGUGCAAAGAUGUGAGAGAGAGAGAGAGAGAGAGUACCCCGAGAAGUUCAGUAAGAGCAGCACGCAAUUCAGUCAUCACGGAGUGACAAACAUCGACAUUUUCAUCUGUUGACCGAACGGCUGCCCAUAUACGUUCUCCUAUCCCGGGACCUAAGUCAGGUCUGACUGUACUAACCCAUUCACCAUGGUUGCUCUUGAAUUCAUACCUAUUCUAUCAACCAAAUAAUAAAUUUGGAAUUCAUUAUGUACGACAAAUUUAAAUUUUGUUAAUCAAGGUGAAGAUGCAGAAAUUAUCACACUCAUAUUCAAGUCCACCAAAUCAGCACCUUGCGAGAAGAUGAAAGGCGGUUGAUAGGGCUGCCAAAGACGGUAUAAUGUACUCUUCACUUGGAUUUCCUUUAUCCAAGAAAGAGUUCAAGCUUGGAACUUUGUCCUUGACAACAUCCCCGAGGUUAGCAUGUUUUAUAACUUGACCUGCAUUUGCAGAUAUAACGAGUGAGCUUCUUCUUUCCAUGUUGUGAGCUUGUCACUAUCUCAGCAGGAGACCCAAUUUAAUUAAUUGAUUAAUUUUCAGUUAAUAAUCUGUCUAUUGAACAUAAUGGCCAAUUUGUGUCUUAAAACGUGGGGGAAUUAUAAAUUGGACUCGAUUCAUGUCAAUCAAAAUACUUACAGCUAGAGAUGAAACAGAUGAAUACGGUCAAAUCACUUACCCCCAAAUAACUUCUCAACUGACUCAACAAGUACUUGUUUCACUCGACUGCUUGGAACACUUGAAAUCUGGAAACAGUCUUCUGCGAUGAUUAACUGAGUGGGUACGACAGGACCCGUAUCAGGCAAUUGGAGUAACACUCGUCCAACUCUAUUCAAAAUCGCAGGAUUCCUUGCAAACCAUCCUAUAUCAGAAGUUAGUGUCAAAAGGAUGGUUUCCGAUUGCUUAGAGUGCUAGAUAGAUCAUUCACAUAGGUAAAGCUUUCGAAGUACUAUAGUUCCAAUUGCAGAAAAACUUAAACACAGAAGUGUCACGAGUAAUAAUCAACAAAGAUGCAGAAUGCACGGAUGGCAUAUGAAUCAUUGAAGCGGAGGAAGUUAGCUACUUUCUAGAAAUAAAGAGAGAUAUUUCCUGUUACAUAAAAUCAAGGGGAAAAAACCGAAAACAUGACCUUUUUUUUGUCACGACCAGAAAUCUAUUUCCUAAGCCAGUCUGCAAUAUAAAAUGUCAUUGAUUUCUCACCCACUGUAUCGAAACUUUGUGCCAGAGGAGUAACUCCAGAAGUAGAAAUGACACCAUGAGAUGGCCGAAACCCAAAAAUUCCACAAUGCGACGCAGGAAUUCUUACACUUCCUCCAGUGUCAGUUCCUGAAAAAGUGAGGGUCUUGUGCUUCAACAUAAAGAAGCAAGAAAACAACAAAAGCACACUAGGAAUAACUUACCUAAGGAAAAAUCUGCGAGGCCUACAGCUACGGCAACAGCAGAACCGCUAGAAGCCUCCAGGCACCCUAUCUGGAGCGCACGGAUUUCUGGGUGUGCCAUAAUGCUUGUUCUCUCCAUUCAUACUGCCAACAACACAGUGCAAAAUUCAAGGGCGUUUUCUGUCGAGUGAUUUUCGAAUGUCCAAAAUCAUUAUAUAAAUACUUUUACCACGAAAAGAGACUUGUAGCGAUCAAUCAUUUGUCAAAAUUUUUGGGAACAAAACAGUAAUGCAAGUUUAAGCAUGUGAAGUAAGACAAGGCCUCUUUGUACUAACCAGUAUGCCAUUUCAUCCAUGACAGUUAUACCAAUACUUGUGGCACCUCCACUCAAUAUUGCUGAAACAGCCGGAGCUGUUGAUUCAGCAGCCGGGUGAGUCCUCGCCCAAUCAGGAUUCCCAAACCCAGUCACACGUCCAGCCACAUCAAAUCUGCCUCCAAGUUCAAAUUUCAGUGAACACAAAAAUGUUUUGGCUUUUACACACACAUGAAAAAAAUUGCACAAUUCAACACCCUGAAGUUCACCAUCAUGGUUCCACAAGCACACAUAAAACCACACAAAGCAUGAAGAUUUAUUAAAACGCUUCUCUGAAAAAGCACUUCUCAUCAUAAGUGCUUUUGCUGGAAGUAUUUUUACUUUAGUAGAAGUAAAUCCACCACAAAGUUUCAUUAAAAAUUCAAGUGCUUCAGAAAAAAAACAUUUGAACUUUUUUUUCUGUAAGUGUUUUUAGUCAUUCUCAAAUGAAGAAACGCCCAAUCACAGAAACAACACACAAAAUUGGGUUCUUGGAGACAACUGAUUGAACCCAAAUCCGAAAUCAGCAAAUAAGCACAAAAGCAUAUGAAUUUUAAGUAUAACACUACAAAAUUUAAAGCAUCCACCAAAUAGAAGAGUGAUAUAAUUGAGGAAAAUUUAAGAGAGUAGCUCUCACAUGUCUUUAACAGCAAAGGUGAGGCCACUCAGAGGAAGGUCAUGUGAUGAAGACGGCGGUCGGAGAAGGAAUUUCUCCACGAAAGCUCCAUGAUCUGAGUCUAUCGCCAUCUCUCUCUGCCACUGCUGUCUCAGAUAAUCUCAGCUUCAGCAGCUGCUCCACAUUUGACGACAGAAGUGAAUAGCUCUCCACUCAUCAAUCAUACGAUGAUCCUAUUCAAAUGCAAGGACAGAUUAUUCCUUAAAAAAAUCUGUUGUUGAUAGGUGGUCACUUCAGUCAGUGAGGGCAAAGUGGAAAUUCUGGAGGUAGUAAGUCCUCACUAUGGUCCUUAGACUCUGAGAAUUGAUACAAAUGGUCUUUAAAUUUGUCCACCGUAAAUUAUUUUGCUCUAAAAAAUUUGUCAAUAUCAUCAUUGAGUGGAUGGGUUGAUUAGACAAAAUAUCCUUAAAAAGAAUGACAAUUCAAGGACCGCUUCUAUCGGUUUUCAUUAUCAUGAUCAAAGUGAGGGGUUUUGCCAAAGUCAGGAACCAUUUUGACUAAAACCCUAAAAAAAAAGGGGAAUUGUUAUUGGCUCUCCAAAAAUCUCAUUCUAUACUCCAACUUUCUAUAUUUGGAAAGAAAACUACACUUCUGAGGAGUGUAGAAUAAGAUUCUUGGAGUGUUAAUAACACUUCCCAAAAAAUAAAACAUAUUCUAUGAAAAUAUUGUGAAUUUCUUAGCUUAUGGAUCCAACGCAAGUACACAAUGUAUUAGGGUUUUUAUCACAAAGGAUCCCUGAGAUUGAUCAAACUCAUUAUUUUGAUCCCUCACUUUCAAAAUCAAUCAAUGUUGUCUCUAACCUUCACUACCAAAUAUCAAUUUGGUCAUUCCGUUAAGAUUUUGUUAACUAUUCUGUUAGUUUAUAUGCGGGGCCCACAAUUUCAAUGAAAUUGUGACAUGUAGAUUACACAAAAUAAGGAUUUUUAUCGCAAAUAAUCCCUAACAUUGAUCUAACUUCUCAUUUUGGUCUCUGAGUUUCAAAAAUUAAUAAAUUUGGUCAUUGACUUUCAAUACCGCAUGUUAAUUUAAUCAUUCCGUUAAAGUUUCGUCAAUAUUCUUUGUCCCACUAAUUCAAUCAUAUGACGUCACGUGAAUUAACUAUAAGAAACUUUUUUUUUUAAGAUUUAAAAUUAAAAGUAAAAUAAGAGACUGAAAACCAAAACUAAAAGAAAGAAAAGAGUUAUCGUCAUCUUCAUCAGGUAUGCUAAAAAAGAAAAUAAAGGCACCAUGACACUAUUAAAGUUCUUGGCCUCCUAAACUUACUCUUCAUUAUCUCCAGUUGGUUAUAAUCCUAUCAACUUUAAAUUGAAUUUGGAUUCGAUUUUAUCAAAUUUAGAUUGAAUUUUUUUCAAUUGGGGUUGUGGGAUGCGAGAAAAAUAUCAAUGCGGAAUACUCGUAUGUUGGUUCAAUCUUAAAAAAAAAAAAAAUUCUUAUAGUUAAUCCACGUGGAGCCAUAUUGAUGAAAUUUACAAAAUGACUAAAUUGAUGUGCGAUAGUGAAAGUCAGGGAUCAAAUUCAUAAAUUUUUGAAACUUAGGGACCAAAAUGAGGGUUUGGACCAAUGUCAGUGACCAUUUGCGAUAAAAACUUUAAUUUUGUGUAAUCCACAUGUCACUAUUUCACGUUGAUGGAAUCUUAAUGGAAUGACCAAAUUGAUGUGGGGUAGUGAAUAUCAUGGACGACAUUAAUUGAUUUUGAAAGUAAGUCCCACUUACAAACUAACAGAAUAGGUGAAGGAAUCUUAACCGAAUGACCAAAUUGAUGUAGGGUAGUGAAUGUAAUGGAUGACAUUAAUUGAUUUUGAAAGUAAGCGACCAAAAUGAUGAGUUUGAUCAAUCUUAUGGACCAUUUGUGAUAAAAACUCCAUUGUAUUAUCAAUGGAAACAAAAUUUCAAGUGGCAGUUCCAUACAUAUGCAGGCGAACUUUCAUUCGCUGCGGUCGGAAUAAAAAAAUAUGUACAAAUAAGGGAUCACAGGUCUGUGCUCGGCGAGUUCCACCUCUGCUGGCUCUGUAGUUACUCCCGGAGCACUCCAACCUAAGCGUUGCAUGCACACAGCAUCGUAUGCUUCAAUUUUCAAACCCGAAACAAGAAAUAGUUCCACCUCGUUUACAAACCGAUUGGUUCUUGCUGCCAGGAAAGGCCCUGCUGCAUCACAGGUUGAUUCUUGAAAUUCUCUUUGUUUUUCUUCAGGUGCCGUCGUUCGACCUUUUUGUUCAUCCCUUGAAAAUGCAUGGUUCAGGUAAAAGUUCAAACAAAGAGUUCAUUGAAAUUUUGCACGUUUUCAAGCACUUCAAUGUUGUUCUUUCUCAUAUCUUGUCCAAAAGAACUCUAAAGACGGGAACUAAACUUUGGAACGUUAUUCGAUUUUUCAAUUGAAGAUCUAGGGAGUAACACAUAUCACCUCGUCAGGGAUGAAUUAAUCACGCCAUGUAUGUGGUGCAUGACGAUGUCAACAUCUUCCUCCUACAAGCAGCAACAGAAGCAAGUUAGCUAUAAAGAGUCACCCGAAUAACUAUAACAUGCAUGUUCUGCUGUGGUCGUCAUAGAUAAAGAAAGACCACACGCACAACUUUAUGAUUUAGCUAACUGGACUAGGUGAUCCAGUUCAUUGCCAAGCCAAAGAAACAAAAAUGAAACUCUGUAGGAUGUUGAAAUGUCCUCGUGUCACCACGAAAGAAAAUUUAUGCAGAGAAGUCAAGACCUGCACCAGAGCUUGGAUUUCCCUUCUCCACCAACUUUGGAGCCAGCGGUUUGGCUGAAGAUACUUGCGGGACUUCUGAUACCGUGGUACAUCAAAUAUGUCACUUAAGAAACCAUGUAAACAGUGACGGCGUUUCUCAGGGAUAUAAAAUGAGAAACAACACAACCAAUAAAAUGACAAGAAGAACAAAACCUGGUUCAGUGUAAUAACACUGCAAUCUAUGCUUGUGCUCCUUUGAUAAGAAAAAGCUGCAGAUACCAUUAACAAAAAACGAUUUACAGCGAGGGGUUACAUAUUUUCGAAAACGAUUUACAAAACUUUAUUUUUUAGGCCCAUCCACCCUUGUUUUUCGCCCCUCCAGGAAUUUUAGUGGCAGAGGUUUUGUGACGACGAGGAUUGUUGGUAAAAGCUGUUACGUAGGAGACUUCUCCUUUCAGUAUAAAUGUCAUUACUCUUCUUUUAUUGUAAUUUAUUUAUGCUCUGACAUCAUUUGUGUGAAAUGGGUUUAAUCCUGCUCAUAUGUGCAGUCUAAAUUAGUUACUUUUAGGUUUUAAUUUAUUCACAAUUUUCACAUCACUACAUUUUAUAACUUCGUCACCUUCUGAGUGUCGGCUAGUACAUCACAAUUUGGGUGUCUGUGUGGACAUUCCAAGUCGAAAUGUGUCAAAAAUGUACCAUACCAAUUUUUUGUAUGUAAAAUAUCAUUAAUAUAAGUAAUGACAAAUCAUGGGUUUUAUUUAAAUAUAGUUUAUUUUAAUGACAAAUCAUGUCAUUAAGAUAAAUUAUACUUUUUUAUAUAAGUAUAAUUUAUUUUUUUAUAUUUUCAAUCCCACAAAUCAUGAAUUUUAUCUAAAAUCUCAAUAAUAUAAGUAACUACAAAUAUCAAAAUAUCAAAUUUUAAUUUGAAAUUAUAAUAACCUACAUAGAACUUUAUUAUUGUAUUAAUUUCAGGAACUUCAAUAAAAAAAUUGAAAACCAACAAGGUUUCAAUUGGAUUAAAAUUGAGGGACAAUUUCUCCAUUUGGAUUAAAAUUGAGAGACUAUUGAUACAAUUUUUCUUAUUUGAUUUUUCAUAUUUGCCCCUUAAUUUGGCCUCAUGUGCAUAGCAUGUGAUUUAUUUUGGCAGAAGUUCUAACGUAGUUGACAAAAAAAAAAAACCAUAUCUGCACGUUUUGAUGAGUUUAGAGACAAAUGUUAAUGAAUUUUUAGUUAAUGGAUAGUUGCUCCAAUUAGGUUAAAGUUGAGAAAUUAUUGCUACAAUUUCCUCUACAAUGAAAGCUAAUAUAUAAGCUUGAUAGCUUGCUCAUGGACCAUACACAAGGAUAAAACGAGGAAAAUUCCUAUCUAUUUUAAACCUUAUGACUGAUUUGGGAUUGUGGUUCUUUUAUAAAAAAACAGCUUAUGAAAAAAUUUGGAAACCAAAAAAAAAAGUGCUUAUUUAAAAAAUUGUUGUCAAUGACAACAUAAAAGCAAAGAAAAGCAGAAACAAGGUCUACUAUGUUUCUAAAAAUUUCUAAGCAUAGUGAACUGUGAGAAUUAAUGAAAUUUUCAAAUGGCAACUGCAUAUUUUACAAAAUAACAAUCGUUGCCCGUGCAAUAUUCUCUUUGACAAUUAUUAUAUCACAUUAAAUGUCAUAUCAUUUUUAGUAUUUAACAAAUUCACAUCAAUUUUAUAUAUAAAAGUUUACAAAACACUCUGUUUUAUUUUUUUACAAGCACUUUUACAAUAAAAGUUUAUCAAACGCUCAACAACUUUAUUUUACAACUGUUUAUUCUCAAAACACUGCAGAAACAAUUUAAAAAAAAAAAAAAAAGACAUAACAACACCAAACUAGCAGAACUUACAAGCACAUAUAUUAGGAAAAGAUUAUCAGAAUCUGCAACUCAAAAUCUUGUAGUCAACAUUCACAACUUCCCGGCGUGUUCUUUGAGAGUGUCGUAAAGAGUCUCCACAAGAUUGAGCAGGAAUCCAUCCGAGCCAUGCUUUGCCAGCAAGGAAACUGAAACAGGUAGGUUAUCGCACAUCCCUAGUGGUAUACUCACCUGCAAAUACGUAGAAAUAAGUUACAAACUUUCGCAAGAUACUUGCAGUCAAUGACGAAGAAAAAGAUUGUAACAUGUCGUAUACAAACAUGGAAAGGGGGAGGGAGAGGUAGAGAUAGAUAGAGGGCUUAAAAACCUGGCAGAAUCCGGAAACUACGGCAAUGGAUUGGAAGCUGAAAGCCCUGGCACGAAAAGCGUCCAGUAUACUAGGAUCUGUUUGCAGCUUUGGUGGAUACCCUGGAACUGUAGGCAUUGCGAGGACACCGAAAUCCUGAUGAAUAAUUCAAAGAGAUUGUGUUACGUAUUCAUCAGGGACAGUAUUUCUUCUGCUAAAAGUUUCGUUUUAAGAGAGCAAAAAGGAAGGAAGAUGCUAACAAUAACAGUUUGUCAGUCUCUCUACUCUAACAAAACGAACUCGUUUGAUAUGAAGUGACGGAUUCCUAAAAUGAACUUUGGCGUGUGCAAAGAUGUGUGUGUGAGAGAGAGAGAGAGAGAGAGAGAGAGAGAGAGAGAGAGAGAGAGAGAGAGAGAGUACCCCGAGAAGUUCAGUAAGAGCAGCACGCAAUUCAGUCAUCACGGAGUGACAAACAUCGACAUUUUCAUCUGUUGACCGAACGGCUGCCCAUAUACGUUCUCCUAUCCCGGGACCUAAGUCAGGUCUGACUGUACUAACCCAUUCACCAUGGUUGCUCUUGAAUUCAUACCUAUUCUAUCAACCAAAUAAUAAAUUUGGAAUUCAUUAUGUACGACAAAUUUAAAUUUUGUUAAUCAAGGUGAAGAUGCAGAAAUUAUCACACUCAUAUUCAAGUCCACCAAAUCAGCACCUUGCGAGAAGAUGAAAGGCGGUUGAUAGGGCUGCCAAAGACGGUAUAAUGUACUC